CCUACGGGUGGCUGCAGUGGGGAAUAUUGCACAAUGGGGGCAACCCUGAUGCAGCGACGCCGCGUGAGUGAAGAAGGAUUUCGGUACGUAAAGCUCUAUCAGCAGGGAAGAAAAUGACGGUGCCUGACUAAGAAGCCACGGCCAAAUACGGGCCAGCAGCCGCGGGAAUACGAAGGGGGCAAGCGUUAGCCGGAUUUAUUGGGGGGAAAGGGAGCGUAGACGGGAGGGCAAGUCUGGAGUGAAAUCCCAUGGCUUAACCGUGGAAGUGCAUUGGAAACUGUGCGGCUUGAGUGCAGGAGAGGUAAGCGGAACUCGUAGUGUAGCGGUGAAAUGCGUAGAUAUUAGGAAGAACACCAGUGGCGAAGGCGGCUUACUGGACUGUAACUGACGUUGAGGCUCGAAAGCGUGGGUAGCAAACAGGAUUAGAUACCCUGGUAGUC
rnacentral:rRNA from 1 species